GCGCCUCCUUUUGACGGCGUGCCGUACUAUUUAUCUGGCAACCCUGCUACUCAGCUCAAAGAGUCAGAAGUGGUCAGAAAUCAGACGUUGACGGUCAUAAACGAGACGCUACAGAAAAUACACGUAAAAUAACUCAAUUUUCCAAAAAUAUAAAACGUAAAAUAUACACAACAAAAAUCCAAGCAAUUGGUGUGGCCUGGGGUCUCGAAUACGGCUCACUUGGCCAUUUCGUGAUAGGUGGAAGAUUCCUUCCGAGGGUCGUUCGCUUCUUCAUUUUGGCGAUAUUCUCCUGUACAGGUAAGGAGAUUAUCGAGGAAGGAAAGGGUCUUCUUUUAAUGGGCAACCCAAUUUUCAUCUACGAACAGAGACAAAUCACCAGUCAGAGCAAAUUCGUCUCCGUUGAGAUUCUCGCAUUCUCAUCAAUCCUGGGUCUUCGCAUCGUAGUUGCAGUCCUGGCAUCUUAGCUUAGCCUUCGUUGGAGCACCGCAGCAUUGCAGAGCAUCGCAGCAUUGCAGAGCAUCGCAGCAUUGCAGAGCAGCGCAGCAUUGCAGAGCAGCGCAGCAUUGCAGAGCAUCGCAGCAUUGCAGAGCAUCGCAGCAGAGCAGCGCAGCAUUGCAGAGCAUCGCAUCUUCAGCGGGCUGAGAGGAAGGCUGUGCAGGGCUGAGCAGCUGAUCAUCUUUGAGAUGCGAGAGCUCAAUGGAGAUAUCUGUUUUGCCGAUAAUAUAAUUGUGUUUUUAAA